rnacentral:pre_miRNA from 1 species
AUGGUACUUCCUCCGUCCGAAAAUACUUGUCAUCAAAAUGAAUAAAAGGGGAUGUAUCUAGAUGUAUUUUAGUUCUAGAUACAUCUUUUUUGUCCAUUUUGAUGACAAGUAUUUUCGGACAGAGGGAGUAAUCA